GAGUCCUGUUCAGCGUGGGAGGAAAUAACACAAGAGGCAAAGAUCACUCGGGACCACCUUGUAUAUUGGCUACCACAGAACCCAACACAAGCAGUAAGUUAAAAUCAUGAAGCUCCUGACGUCAGAGGACAUGGCUCUGCCAUUUGUUAGCACUGCAAUGAAUGCUGCUGCACACGCUGUUGAGCUCGUGGACACUUUCCUGCUGGGUGAGGACCCGAACGUGAAAUUGCUGGGUCAUGGAUUCAAGUGCUACACAUAUUUUUGACCACAUUACUGUGACUCAGGAAGCCCAGGAACAGAAUUCUAGGCACCAGAACCAUACAUGUUACAGCCUCUGAGCUUUAUGGCCUCUGAGCCAUUUGUCCAGCCACAUCAUUUGCAGAUGAGAUCCUGAGACUCAGGCUGGAAAAGUGACCGGGGAAAAGUCACACAAGUCAGAGGCAGAGCUGGAGUUUCCUCAUUUCCAGGCCCGUAUAGAUCAAGACGGACGUUGGUCAAACACCUCCUAGUACUCACAUGAAGAAGCUCUCCUUUCUGCUGUAGGAAUGAUCACACACCAUUCCAAUCUGGAUACCAAAUGUCAUUGUUUAUUAAAUGUGUGCAGUGUGCCAGG
ensembl:lncRNA novel transcript